AUCGUUUCUCGGCCUUUUGGCUAAGAUCAAGUGUAGCAUCUGUUCUUAUCAGUUUAAUGUUAACCCUAAGUAAAAAGAAAGCUGUGGUAGUUGUAUUAACAGCAGAUAAAAAUAUAUUUCAGAGCAAAGGAUAUUGCCAGGAAUAAUGUUUUAUCAUGAUAAAAACAUCAAUUCAUC
rnacentral:snRNA from 1 species